AAGUCGUAACAAGGUCUCCGUAGGUGAACCUGCGGAGGGAUCAUUAACACGUUUCAACAACGUACCCACCAAAGCUCAGGAAACGCGAGUGGCGACUUCAAAAGUCACAGCUCAGUUCUCUCCCUUCUUGCUCGUGCAUGCUGCGAAGCGUGUAUGUUCGUGGAGGCUAUAACCUUUUAUUGACCCAUUUCCAACUUCAAUGCUUGCUGAUGACCGUGACUUGUUGCUUUUGUGACUUGUUGUUGUUGUUCGUUUGGUGUUGUCGCUCUCUGUCCUGUAUUCUAUCUGUGGAGUUGGAUCUUGAUUGCUCCUCCUCUUGAUAGUUGAUAUUUAAUGCAAAGCACAACUCUUAGCAACGGAUAUCUUGGUUCUC
rnacentral:misc_RNA from 1 species